CGUUGUGGAGGCGGUGGAGUUAAGGUUAACCGGAAGAUGCACGACCAUACUUUCACUUUCAGUCUCAGAGCUGCAGCAUCUUCUCCACUUGGUACAGAUCGGAUUAAUCUGAUUCACAGUUUAUCCCGCAGUCAACAAUUCUCCAGUGCUAAAAACAAACCUACCAAUCAAUCAGUCCCCCUCACCAGCAGCAGGAUGGCCUUCCAAGUCUUAGUGCAUUUAGACAAAAAAACGAUCACGGUCACAGUGGCAGAAACCGAGGAACAGGCACUGAAGACUACCAUCAGAGAGUUAAAGGAGUUAAUUCUACAGACAGUGAAGGAAGAAAUCAGUAUUGACAAGUUCAGACUGAUCUUUGGGACUCAGCAGUUAGAAGAUAAUCGUACGCUGCAAGAUUAUAACAUAAUGCACGAUUCUGUAAUCAUGACGAUCUUCAUUAUAAAAGGAGGAGGGCCAGGUGCAAAACCAGAUGAACCACCAAAAAGGAGACGCAGUCGUGAAUUAACAUUUGAAGCAAGUAUGUUUCCAUCAAAUUCCAUUAAAGAAUUUGUAAUCCAACAGAACAGAAAUUCACAUGUAUAAUGUUCAUAUUAGGAAUUUGAGCUGCUGAGUGUAAUUUUCUCUUCCUUUUGUUGUUGUUUCUGUUCUUUUGUCCAUCCAGUGGCUACACAGUUCCCCAACAGAUGUCUUGUACAGUAGAGAGAAUGGUAUGUAGAGCUGUAUAAAUUCUCCUACAGGUGUGAAAACAUGAUUAAGUGCUAAUAAAGAAGUGUGCACCAGCA
rnacentral:lncRNA from 1 species